AGGAAAACGUACAGCCUGCUUCUUCUCCGCCUGCGCCAAAGCAAAAAAGAGGGCCACGGGAAAAGCCAGAAAAACCCCAGAAAUAUUCGAAUUUUCCGUGACCGCAAAGGCCCAGACGCGAAGCCCAUUGACCGUGUCCUUGUUCGUAACAGGAAAAGUGGAUCAGCCGUGCGUGUUGUGCGUUAUUGAGUGUCCCAGCAGCUCGUGUGUGUUGAGUUGAUUUUCCGGGCUCGCGGGAAGCGCGGACACACCUCCCUCGGGGUGAGGUAGUUCUUGGAAGAUUUGGCAAGGUGUGCAGUGCUGGAAACCCCCCGUCGUGGUCGUCGUAGUACCCGGUGAGGAUAACAGCACCAACAGCAACAAAUAGAAGGAGGAGCAGCGGGUGCGGAAACGGCCAGGAACGGUGCAUAAUUCGGCGUAACAUCUGCUAGAGGAAUAUCUUAUCACAAAAUGGAUAAAAGAAAAUUAUCCACAUCCGGCGAUACGCUGUAUCAAACCCUGGGACUGCAGAAAACGGCCACAGCGGAUGAAAUCAAGAAAACGUACCGAAAGCUCGCGCUUAAGUAUCACCCAGACAAGAACCCAAACAACCCAGACGCAGCGGACAAGUUCAAAGAGGUUAACCGGGCUCAUUCCAUCCUGAGUGAUCUAACGAAGAGGAACAUCUACGAUAACUAUGGUUCGCUGGGAUUGUACAUCGCGGAGCAGUUCGGAGAGGAGAAUGUCAACGCCUAUUUCGUCGUUACCUCACCGACAUGCAAGGCGUUGUUUAUGAUUUGCGGUAUUAUAACAGGAUGUUAUUGUUGCUGCUGUUGCUGCUGCUGCUGUAACUUCUGUUUCGGAAAGUACAAACCGGUGCCACCGGAGAACGCCGGCGAUUACCAUCAUUUGCAUAGAGGAGAUGGUGGUGCCAGUAGUAGCAACGCAGGGGAUGCCACGGCCGUCACUGAACAGCCAUCGCGAAGAGAAGAUUUGGCCGACCUGGACGAUAAUGGUGGUAGCAGCGCUGGUGGACCGGUAACAGCGCAACCGCAGGCUGGUCAGGCACAGGGGGCUGGUAUGCCCGUGUAUGCGAUGCCUCCGCCAUCGGCGAAUCCAACCAAUCCGUUCACCGGAUCGACCGCUACCGAAAGCACAGGCCUCAACACGGGCAAUCAACCAGUGUAUACGCCUGGACGUUAAACACAAAAUCAUAUUUCGGAUUCCCGCUGUCUACCCACGGCUUAAUGCUCUAUAAUAUACACACAAUACCACGUGCGGUAACAUAAUGGGGUAAUUAAUGUCGCUCCACUACGUUCGUUUGUUUGUCUACAGAUUUGCUACAAUUUUGAAGCACUCGAGAAAGCGCUUAGCCCCCCCAAAAGCUCUUCACGUCCUCAGUUUGUGCAACACAACAACUGUUGUUGCGAAUUGCUUGUACAUCCUUUACCAUCAUCCUCCUCGCCAACCGUUCCUGGAUUGAGAAAACGUAAUCGCAAAUUUGAUGUCCUCGUAUUAGAUAACGCCGUAUGAAAUGAAGAUAAUAAGCAUCGCCAUUAAAAUCCCGCUCCGUACGAGAUGUCGGUUCGAACGAAUGACGAUGACCAUCAUCCCUAAUGCAUUACUUGUUCGCUCGCCCGCUCGCAGCAACAACAUACCCUACACACAACAAACUCCCAUUGUACCACGCGUAUUUGCACGACUCGGAUCUGAUGCACCGGAACCUGUGCAGCGCUACAAUAUGAAGUAACAAUAAUAAGAAAUCGUAAAACAGAACCAGCAGAUUCCCCUUCGCCGACGAUGGAGACGGCGUCCCUUCGCAAGACACACACACAACAUGACACGGUGGAACAUGUUUCGAGUGACAAAAGACAAUUUGUAGUUUACCGUUUUUAGGAAAUAUUUAGUUUUUGCCACCAAACCAGACACGUAACAGUAUCAACAGCAGCAACUUCCUACGCCUCCCUUUCACAUGCGGCCAGCACGAGUUCGAAUCGCAUGGCGGGAAGGUUGGUGCUGCUGUUCGCUGCAGUGAACGUUGUGCAUAUAUUUGUGUGUGUGUGUCUGUUUGUGUGUCAGUAAGUGUGUUUUUUAGUAUUUCAUUCUUAAAUACUGAUAGCACCGGAAAAGGGAGCAGAAAUCAAAAAAAUCCUUCCCCUUUCGACUUCGAACUUCUGCAAUCAUUCGCCGUUGGCGCGAAACGACUUAUUAUUGAUCAGUAUAGCUGUAUGUUUUUAGUGGAAACGGUAUAACAAAUCAAUAGAUCAAGAACUAGAGAAGGAAACAAAAUAGAUUUCCCUCUAUACAAUUCGAAACCAAAAGCACACGAAUGGUGGCGAUUUGUUUGUGGCACCAAUUUUAUCUCUUUUUGUGCUCAGCGAAGGGAAAACAACAAAAAUAUUGAACUCCAAAGGAUGGAUGAGGUCGAUUAAUAAGCGUUAAGGUGGGGUGGAUAGCAGCGAAAGUACUCCGUGGAGAGACAAAAAAAAAAACAAUAAAAAACAACACUUUUAUCCUAAUUUA